ACACACUGAGCAGGUAGAAACACACUGCUUUACACACUGAGCAGGUAACUACACACUGAGCAGGUAGAAACACACUGCUUUACACACUGAGCAGGUAACUACACACUGAGCAGGUAGAAACACACUGCUUUACACACUGAGCAGGUAACUACACACUGAGCAGGUAGCAACACGCUGCUUUACACACUGAGCAGGUAGCAACACGCUGCUUUACACACUGAGCAGGUAGCAACACGCUGCUUUACACACUGAGCAGGUAGCAACACGCUGCUUUACACACUGAGCAGGUAGCAACACGCUGCUUUACACACUGAGCAGGUAGCAACACGCUGCUUUACACACUGAGCAGGUAGAAACACGCUGCUUUACACACUGAGCAGGUAGCAACACGCUGCUUUACACACUGAGCAGGUAGCAACACGCUGCUUUACACACUGAGCAGGUAGCAACACGCUGCUUUACACACUGAGCAGGUAGCAACACGCUGCUUUACACACUGAGCAGGUAGCAACACGCUGCUAUACACACUGAGCAGGUAGCAACACGCUGCUUUACACACUGAGCAGGUAGCAACACGCUGCUUUACACACUGAGCAGGUAGCAACACGCUGCUUUACACACUGAGCAGGUAGCAACACGCUGCUUUACACACUGAGCAGGUAGCAACACGCUGCUUUACACACUGAGCAGGUAGCAACACGCUGCUUUACACACUGAGCAGGUAGCAACACGCUGCUUUACACACUGAGCAGGUA